rnacentral:rRNA from 1 species
UACGUAGGGUGCGAGCGUUGUCCGGAAUUAUUGGGCGUAAAGGGCUCGUAGGCGGUCUGUCGCGUCGGGAGUGAAAACUCAGGGCUUAACCCUGAGCCUGCUUCCGAUACGGGCAGACUAGAGGUAUGCAGGGGAGAACGGAAUUCCUGGUGUAGCGGUGAAAUGCGCAGAUAUCAGGAGGAACACCGGUGGCGAAGGCGGUUCUCUGGGCAUUACCUGACGCUGACGAGCGAAAGUGUGGGGAGCGAACAGG